GGAACAGCCUAGAAGCAGGGCCUGGAACUGCAGGAUACACUCCCCUCCUGCUACCUAGGCAGGCGUGAGGGUGUGACGGCCGCGCAUUCGCCAGACGAGAGCGAUGGCUGAGAACGCCGCACCAGGUCGCCUUAGACUCACCAGGUCGCCUUAGACUUAGAUGGGACGGGGAGGCCUCGCGCGAGCGCCCCAUUGCCCACCCACCUGGUUGGGACUGUGGAGGAGGGCGGAUGGAGUGGAGGGUUCACCGACCGCGUCGCCCUUCUGGGUGUCGCAGCUCCUUCCUCGGCAGUCCCGGGGCGUGAGAGCGCGACCGGCCGGGAGUUGGGGGACCCGGGACACGGCCGCACGUGGCCUCCCAGGGUUCUAGGAGACCCUGAGUUAGCCGGGCGUGCGCGUGGGUGUCGGGGGCGCGCAGGUCUCCAGCCUUGCAGAGACGGAGGAGGCUGCCAGCUGUGGGGGGCGGCGGUGGGUCCUGGAGUCCCACCGCCUGCCCUAAAUUUCCACUCCGCCCCUGUCGCCCAGUGUGACCUUGGGCAUGUACUGCAGCUCCCAGUGCCUCAGUUUCCUGCUCUGUGGAGGGAGAGUGACAGUGCUCCCACCUGCUGCGUGUGUGAGGGUUUGGCACCCCUCUGGCCUUUGUGAAAGGCUUAGGAAACGGGCUGUUUCUUUACUCCGGUUUUACAGGAAAGGAAACUGAGGCUCAAGACGUUUUAGUAACUUCUCCAAGGUUACCCAGCCAGCAAGUGAUGGGGUCCAGGCCUGACCAGCGCCCCCGCCCCAGCACAUUCUAGAAGGUUCUGCCCCAGUUUAAAUGGGGUGCAUGCUCUGAGGCCUGUCACAGCUUUUUCCGGCUUAGCUUCUCUGUCCCUCCUCUGGGAGUCUCCACUCCCAUGUCUGACUCUCUCCCCAUAACCUUCUGGGGCAGCUAAGGGUCUGAGUCCCUCUGGACAUGAGCCCCUGGCUCAAGCACAUCAGGGAGAGAUAAGGGGCUCAGGGAGCACCAGCUUCAUGGGUGAAUGAAUGAAGGAAUGAAAGACCCGG
rnacentral:lncRNA from 10 species